AGCAGCCGCGGUAAUUCCAGCUCCAAUAGCGUAUAUUAAAGUUGUUGCAGUUAAAAAGCUCGUAGUUGAAUUUCGGGGUCAGUAGGUCGGUCGUGCCACUGGUAUGAACUGGUUUUACUGAUUCCUCCCUCUUGAAGAACUGUAAUGCCAUUAAUUUGGUGUUGCAGGGAAUCAGGACUGUUACUUUGAAAAAUUAGAGUGUUUAAAGCAGGCUUUAGCCUGAAUACAUUAGCAUGGAAUAAUGAAAUAGGACGUUUGAUCCUAUUUUGUUGGUUUCUAGGAUUGACGUAAUGAUUAAUAGGGAUAGUUGGGGGCAUUAGUAUUCAAUUGUCAGAGGUGAAAUUCUUGGAUUUAUUGAAGACUAACUACUGCAAAAGCAUUUGCCAAGGAUGUUUUCAUUAAUCAAGAACGAAAGUUAGGGGAUCGAAGACGAUCAGAUACCAUCGUAGU
rnacentral:rRNA from 1 species